GCCGGCGUCGACCAGCGGAAGGUCAUUCUCGCAAUGUGGCACAUGUCCCAGGUCAUCCGAGAGAGCCGGGGGUUCGACUCCCCUCGCCGGCA